rnacentral:siRNA from 1 species
GUACUUCAGGUUUUUUUACGGGAC